rnacentral:misc_RNA from 1 species
AAGUAACUCCCCUGUUCUUGAGCAGGGUGCUACUCAACCCGUGUAUACUUUACCUUUGUUGCUUUGGCAGGCCGCCUUCGGGCGUCGGCUCCAGCUGACAGCGCCCGCCAGAGGACCCAAACUCUUUUGUUUAAUGAUGUCUGAGUACUAUAUAAUAGUUA